rnacentral:lncRNA from 1 species
CGGCGCUUGGCCCAGGACCAGGCAGCGCGGGCGCGGGUCUCGGCGGGGCCGAGAGCCCCGGGUCCAGUGCCACGGCACCGCCCUCCCGCCUGUGUGCGCUCCACAAGCCCCCGAGCCGCCUAGGGUGAGCAAGCGAGAGAAAGAAAGCGCGCGGGGUAGCCGGGGACUGGAAGGGGCCAGAGGCGACGCACUUACUCCGGGAGGACUCGGGCAGUCGUUGCCGCGGGCUUCCCGGGCGCGUCCCCACCCGCUUCCCCGCCCCGCGGCCAGGACAAGGGGCGCGGGGGAGGAGCGGGGACCGAGCGGCAGCGGCGCUUCCGGAGCGGGAAAGGGGGCAGAAGCUGUUUGGAUUUUGCUAAGAGGAUUUAGGGGGACCCGGGAAUGGAGGCGGAAGGAAGACCCUCGAGCGCGAUGCGAACAAAUGAUCUCGCUUAGGGGAACGCCAAGGGCUCGGGGACAGGGGUCGCGAGCACGUUUUCGUGUUUGAACUUUGUAAGCGAGUCGGAUUGAACCCCACGCUUUAGUUUUACGACCGUGCAGGCUUCAAGUCGAGUCUGCGCCACACCAGGGGACUGAGGACCUACUUCCCGGGACAGCGGCCUGGGCAGGGGUCCCGGAGUGGUGAGCGGGGAGAAGUUCGGCGGCGAGAGACCAGCAGGCCACGCUCCAACCCGGCGGGUCUCUGCGAUCGUUCUUACCUGGUGGCCUUUCUAACAAAGUAGGAAGAGGUGAAGUCCCGGUGGUCGUCCAGCCAGGCUUCCACCCAGUCGGGGUCCGGCCGCCCGGGGCCCGGGCCCGCGCGGUCCAUGGCGCUCGGGGCUGCCUUCCGCCCGGGUCCCUCCCGGAGCUGCGUGCGCGCGACCCUCCC